UUUUGGAACCCUAAUAAUAAAUCCAUCUCUACACCACUUGAUCUCUUGCUACUACAACUACUCACACUCGAUAUUUCAACUCCAAACAACCGUAAAAUCUGAACCGGUUCAACCAACUCGACCGGUUGGGUACCCGGGUUUGUUUUACCCGACCCGGUUUUUGACUCCCAGUGAAUGUAAAACUGCUUAUCCGGUCCGGUCGAGCUGUGAAAGCUAACGCUAUCACCGGCUUUUAAGUUCUUUUCUUUAACAAACCGGCUCCACCCUUUGGUUAACACAUAACUCUGGCUACUAUUCCAAUAUGAAUACCGAAAUCGCCAAACUUUUGACUCGGUAUCUUCGAAGUGUAACAAAACUCCCUUUGAACUGAUGCCUUUUUGAACCGGAAAGUGUUUUUCAGCAUGUUGUUUUGGUAUCACGAGCCGGUUUAGUUUGCCAACGUCGCUUGGUGUGACGGUUUUUUGGAAGAGUUGUUCGCGUGGCAUGGUGCAACCCGGUCCGGGAAGCAUGUCAACUAUUUCGGAUUUUGAGUGACGGUUUAAAAAAGUUGCUUCAAAGGCAGCAGCGUUGUCGUCGGUGACUAGUUGCUUGAAGUUUGUUACUGCGUCUCGUCCGCGAAAGCGUUGGACCGCGACGUCGUACGCUUUCGCGGCUUCGUCUUCGUCGUUAAACGUGCCAAGCCAUACCUGUGGUAAGACAAUGGUGCGCGUUUAGCAUAUACGAGGUAUAUUUAGCCAACCCCACAAAAAACAAAAGAAUAAUCAAAUGUACUAGUUGAUUUUUAUCGUACCCUAAGGGUACAUAUUAAUAAUUUGAUAACUAAAAAGUAACACUGGUAAAAUUAAUGAUUUGAUAACUAAAAAGUACAACCGGUAAAAAUCAACCUAGGGGUACGUUUAUCAUAACAAAAAAGUUAUGCCCAAAGUACCCCUCCUUGUGGUUUUUCGCUAAAAUUAGCUUUUAGCUACAAAAUUAGUUAUAUCGUCUCUUUACUUUUUAGUUAGCAUAUGUAACAUAUACAUGUUUAUGACGGAUAUCAUGAUGCUUAUAAUCUUAAAAGACUAAACAUAAAAUCAACACCACCAUACCCUUUGAUGUUUCUCAUAAAUCUGAGCUCCCCAACGGCCAUUCGGUUGCGGAACAACGCCUUUAUAUCUUGACGACGGUAGCUUCCUCGACAAGGCUUCCACUUCCGGGUCAGAAACCACGCUGGCUCCGCUUCCAACCCGGCGCAAGCUCAUCUCCAACGGCGGUGUUGUGGUGGUGGUUACCGGUUGUGCAACGGUGGAGAUGGUUUCACUGGUUGUGGUUUGAUUAUCUGUGCAACUUGUGUCCAUUUGUAGAGAGAGAAAUGAGAUUGUUUUGUUGUUUCAACAGAGAGAAAUAAAAAGUAUGAAAUGGGUGUGAAAGAAGAGGUGUGUAUAUAUAGGGAUUAGGGAGAUAUUAUAUGUUCAUGUGGGUGAUUGAUAAUAGUAUUUUAGUUUCAUGUUGUCAUAUAUAAUAAAUCCUACUUGAUAUAUUUGUGU
rnacentral:lncRNA from 1 species